CCUACGGGAGGCAGCAGUGGGGAAUAUUGGACAAUGGGGGCAACCCUGAUCCAGCCAUGCCGCGUGUGUGAAGAAGGCCCUCGGGUUGUAAAGCACUUUCAGUGAGGAAGAACGCCUGGUGGUUAAUACCCAGCAGGAAAGACAUCACUCACAAAAGAAGCACCGGCUAACUCCGUGCCAGCAGCCGCGGUAAUACGGAGGGUGCGAGCGUUAAUCGGAAUUACUGGGCGUAAAGCGCGCGUAGGUGGCUUGAUAAGCCGGUUGUGAAAGCCCCGGGCUCAACCUGGGAACGGCAUCCGGAACUGUCAAGCUAGAGUGCAGGAGAGGAAGGUAGAAUUCCCGGUGUAGCGGUGAAAUGCGUAGAGAUCGGGAGGAAUACCAGUGGCGAAGGCGGCCUUCUGGACUGAUACUGACACUGAGGUGCGAAAGCGUGGGUAGCAAACAGGAUUAGAUACCCGUGUAGUC
rnacentral:rRNA from 1 species